ACCUGGCUGGCUCAGAUGGUAGAGCAUGUAAUUCUUAAUCUCAGGGUCUUGAGUUUGAGCCCCAUGUUGGGUG
rnacentral:tRNA from 1 species